AGCGAACGCUGGCGGCAGGCUUAACACAUGCAAGUCGAACGGGCACUUCGGUGCUAGUGGCAGACGGGUGAGUAACACGUGGGAACGUACCUUUCGGUUCGGAAUAAUCCAGGGAAACUUGGACUAAUACCGGAUACGCCCUUCGGGGGAAAGAUUCAUCGCCGAUAGAUCGGCCCGCGUCUGAUUAGCUAGUUGGUGAGGUAAUGGCUCACC
rnacentral:rRNA from 1 species